AUUUUUUUAGUUUAAUUAAAAUAUAAUUUUGAAGAAAUUAAGAUAAUAAAAAUA
rnacentral:tRNA from 1 species